rnacentral:rRNA from 1 species
CUAGUCGAGUCGGCCUGCGCGGAAGAUGUAACGGGGCUAAGUUGUAAACCGAAGCUGCGGCAAUGUUCUUUGAACAUUGGGUAGGGGAGCGUUCUGUAAGCCGUUGAAGGUGUGUUGUAAAGCAUGCUGGAGGUAUCAGAAGUGCGAAUGCUGACAUGAGUAACGACAAGGGGGGUGAAAAACCUCCCCGCCGGAAGACCAAGGGUUCCUGUCCAACGUUAAUCGGGGCAGGGUAAGUCGACCCCUAAGGCGAGGCUGAAAAGCGUAGUCGAUGGGAAACGGGUUAAUAUUCCCGUACUUCUUACAAUUGCGAUGGGGGGACGGAGAAGGCUAGGUGGGCCUGGCGACGGUUGUCCAGGUUCAAGUGCGUAGGCUGAGUGUUUAGGUAAAUCCGGAUACUCUCAAGGCUGAGACACGACGUCGAGCUACUACGGUAGUGAAGUCAUUGAUGCCAUGCUUCCAGGAAAAGCCUCUAAGCUUCAGAUUGUAAGGAAUCGUACCCCAAACCGACACAGGUGGUCGGGUAGAGA